rnacentral:ncRNA from 1 species
GAUAGGUUCCUGUCGUUACCGUGAUUGGACUCUGACGCUCAGUCAACUAGCCUUGUCGACGUGGUUCUUGUGGGCAGGGAACCCGAUGCGGUCCGAGCCACCAGGGGGGAGGCUCGGACCGCUUUCC